AGAGUUUGAUCAUGGCUCAGGAUGAACGCUAGCUACAGGCUUAACACAUGCAAGUCGAGGGGCAGCAUGACCUAGCAAUAGGUUGAUGGCGACUGGCGCACGGGUGAGUAACACGUAUCCAACCUGCCGAUUAUUCCGGGAUAGCCUUUCGAAAGAAAGAUUAAUACUGGAUAGCAUAACGAGAAGGCAUCUUCUUGUUAUUAAAGAAUUUCGAUAAUCGAUGGGGAUGCGUUCCAUUAGUUUGUUGGCGGGGUAACGGCCCACCAAGACAUCGAUGGAUAGGGGUUCUGAGAGGAAGGUCCCCCACAUUGGAACUGAGACACGGUCCAAACUCCUACGGGAGGCAGCA
rnacentral:rRNA from 1 species